rnacentral:rRNA from 1 species
GAUGAACGCUGGCGGCGUGCUUAACACAUGCAAGUCGAACGAUGAAGCCGGAGCUUGCUCUGGUGGACUAGUGGCGAACGGGUGAGUAACACGUGAGUAACCUGCCCUUGACUCUGGGAUAAGCGUUGGAAACGACGUCUAAUACCGGAUACGACGCGCGAAGGCAUCUUCUGCGCGUGGAAAGAAUUUCGGUCAAGGAU